GACGAACGCUGGCGGCGUGCUUAACACAUGCAAGUCGAACGGAAAGGCCCUGCUUUUGUGGGGUGCUCGAGUGGCGAACGGGUGAGUAACCCGUGAGUAACCUGCCCUUGACUUUGGGAUAACUUCAGGAAACUGGGGCUAAUACCGGAUAGGAGCUCCUGCUGCUUGGUGGGGGCUGGAAAGUUUCGGCGGUUGGGGAUGGACUCGCGGCUUAUCAGCUUGUUGGUGGGGUAGUGGCUUACCAAGGCCUUGACGGGUAGCCGGCCUGAGAGGGGGACCGGCCACAUUGGGACGGAGAUGCGACCCAGACUACUACGGGAGGCAGCAGUGGAGAAUAUUGCACAGUGGGCGGAAGCCUGAUGCAGCAACGCCGCGUGCGGGAUGACGGCCUUCGGGUUGUAAACCGCUUUCGCCUGUGACGAAGCGUGAGUGACGGUAAUGGGUAAAGAAGCACCGGCUAACUACGUG
rnacentral:rRNA from 1 species